rnacentral:tRNA from 1 species
GGGUUGUGGCCCAGUGGUAGAGUGCUUGUCUGGCAUGUGUGAGGCACUGUGUUCUAUCCUCAGCACUCA